rnacentral:rRNA from 1 species
CCUACGGGUGGCUGCAGUGAGGAAUAUUGGUCAAUGGGCGCAAGCCUGAACCAGCCAUCCCGCGUGAAGGAAGAAGGCGCUAUGCGUCGUAAACUUCUUUUCCAGAGGAAUAAAAUUUUGUACGAGUACGAAACUGAAGGUACUCUGGGAAUAAGCAUCGGCUAACUCCGUGCCAGCAGCCGCGGUAAUACGGAGGAUGCAAGCGUUAUCCGGAUUUAUUGGGUUUAAAGGGUGCGUAGGCGGCAUAAUAGAAAACCUUCAGCUUAACUUGAGACUUGCCAUUGAUACUGUUAGUCUUGAGUAUGGUUAAGGUAGGCGGAAUGUGUAAUGUAGCGGUGAAAUGCUUAGAUAUUACACAGAACACCGAUUGCGAAGGCAGCUUACUGAGCCAUAACUGACGCUGAGGCACGAAAGCGUGGGGAGCGAACAGGAUUAGAUACCCCUGUAGUC